UCGGUCUGUCAUCUUAUAGGAAGUAGAGGGGUUUGUCAGAAGAACUGUAGUUCAGAGAUCGUUGGCAGGACAGAAUGGAACACACCUUGCUCUGUGUGCUACUCUUGCUGAGUACACUCAUCAACUCUGGACACUCUGAAGAUGAUGAUGCUCUGCCCAAAGCUACACUGACUGUGAAGCCAAACCCUGCAUACCCUGGAGAGACAGUUACUCUGACGUGUUCAGUAGGGUCUGACAGUAUCUGGAGCUAUCAGUGGUACAAAGACAGGAAUGAUAAUGUAGUAUCCCAGUCUGGUUACAGUAACAUUGGAGUCUCUCACACCAUCAGUAGAGCUGGUGUGUCUGACCAGGGUCAGUACUGGUGUGAAGGGAACACAGUGUCUAGACCCACAUCUUCACA